GUGGGGAAUAUUGGGCAAUGGGCGAAAGCCUGACCCAGCAACGCCGCGUGAAGGAAGAAGGUCUUCGGAUUGUAAACUUCUUUUAUGAGGGACGAAGGACGUGACGGUACCUCAUGAAUAAGCCACGGCUAACUACGUGCCAGCAGCCGCGGUAAUACGUAGGUGGCGAGCGUUAUCCGGAUUUACUGGGUGUAAAGGGCGCGUAGGCGGGGGCGCAAGUCAGGUGUGAAAUCUAUGGGCUUAACCCAUAAACUGCACUUGAAACUGCAUCUCUUGAGUGCUGGAGAGGUAGACGGAAUUCCUUGUGUAGCGGUGAAAUGCGUAGAUAUAAGGAAGAACACCAGUGGCGAAGGCGGUCUACUGGACAGUAACUGACGCUGAGGCGCGAAAGCGUGGGGAGCAAACAGG
rnacentral:rRNA from 1 species